rnacentral:rRNA from 1 species
AUUGAACGCUGGCGGCAGGCUUAACACAUGCAAGUCGAACGGACUACUUCGGUAGUUAGUGGCGAACGGGUGAGUAAUGCCUAGGAAUCUGCCUAUUAGCGGGGGAUAACGUUCGGAACGGACGCUAAUACCGCAUACGCCCUACGGGGGAAAGCAGGGGAUCUUCGGACCUUGCACUAAUAGAUGAGCCUAGGUCAGAUUAGCUAGUUGGUGGGGUAAAGGCCUACCAAGGCGACGAUCUGUAGCGGGUCUGAGAGGAUGAUUCGCCACACUGGAACUGAGACACGGUCCAGACUCCUACGGGAGGCAGCAGUGGGGAAUAUUGGACAAUGGGCGCAAGCCUGAUCCAGCCAUGCCGCGUGUGUGAAGAAGGCCUUUUGGUUGUAAAGCACUUUAAGCGGGGAGGAGGGUACUCUUGUUAAUACCAAGAAGUAUCGGACGUUACCCGCAGAAUAAGCACCGGCUAACUCUGUGCCAGCAGCCGCGGUAAUACAGAGGGUGCGAACGUUAAUCGGAAUUACUGGGCGUAAAGCGCGCGUAGGCGGUUAUUUAAGUCGGAUGUGAAAUCCCCGAGCUCAACUUGGGAAUUGCAUCCGAUACUGGGUAGCUAGAGUAUGGGAGAGGAAGGUAGAAUUCCAGGUGUAGCGGUGAAAUGCGUAGAGAUCUGGAGGAAUACCGAUGGCGAAGGCAGCCUUCUGGCCUAAUACUGACGCUGAGGUGCGAAAGCAUGGGGAGCAAACAGGAUUAGAUACCCUGGUAGUCCAUGCCGUAAACGAUGUCAACUAGCCGUUGGGGCCUUUGAGGCUUUAGUGGCGCAGCUAACGCGAUAAGUUGACCGCCUGGGGAGUACGGUCGCAAGACUAAAACUCAAAUGAAUUGACGGGGGCCCGCACAAGCGGUGGAGCAUGUGGUUUAAUUCGAUGCAACGCGAAGAACCUUACCUGGUCUUGACAUAGUGAGAACGAUCCAGAGAUGGAUUGGUGCCUUCGGGAAUUCACAUACAGGUGCUGCAUGGCUGUCGUCAGCUCGUGUCGUGAGAUGUUGGGUUAAGUCCCGCAACGAGCGCAACCCUUUUCCUUAUUUGCCAGCACUUCGGGUGGGAACUCUAAGGAUACUGCCAGUGACAAACUGGAGGAAGGCGGGGACGACGUCAAGUCAUCAUGGCCCUUACGACCAGGGCUACACACGUGCUACAAUGGUCGGUACAGAGGGUUGCUAACCCGCGAGGGCAUGCUAAUCUCAAAAAGCCGAUCGUAGUCCGGAUUGGAGUCUGCAACUCGACUCCAUGAAGUCGGAAUCGCUAGUAAUCGCGGAUCAGAAUGCCGCGGUGAAUACGUUCCCGGGCCU